rnacentral:rRNA from 1 species
AUUGAACGCUGGCGGCAUGCUUUACACAUGCAAGUCGGACGAGUGGCGAACGGGUGAGUAACGCAUCGGAACGUACCGAGUAAUGGGGGAUAACUGUCCGAAAGGACAGCUAAUACCGCAUAUUAUUCGAGCGGCCGAUGUCUGAUUAGCGGGUUGGCGGGGGAAAGGCCCAACAAGGCGACGAUCAGGCGAGGGUCUGAGAGGAUGAUCCGCCACACUGGGACGGAGACACGGCCCAGACGCCUACGGGAGGCAGCAGUGGGGAAUAUGUCGCAAUGGGGGCAACCCUGACGCAGCCAUGCCGCGUGAAUGAAGAAGGCCUUCGGGUUGUAAAGUUCGUUCGGUAGCGAGGCGUUAACUACAGAAGAAGCACCGGCUAACUCCGUGCCAGCAGCCGCGGUAAUUC